rnacentral:pre_miRNA from 1 species
AUAAUACUCCCUUCGUUCGAAAGUACUUGUCGGAGAAAUGAAUGUAUCUAGAUGUAUUUUAGUUUUAGAUACAUCUAUUUUAACAAGUAAUUUCGAACAGAGGAAGUAUAAU